AUUCCAGCUCCAAGAGCAUAUAUUAAAGUUGUUGCAGUUAAAAAGCUCGUAGUUGGAUUUCUGGUAUAAUGCGCCUGGCCCGCGGCUUUUUAAGCCUGUGAGUGCCGGUUGUGCGUUUGCCAUCCUUCUAGAAAACGUUUCUACCCUUCACUGGGCCGGACUCGCGAUCUAGAUCUUUUACUUUGAAAAAUUAGAGUGUUUAAAGCAGGCUUUUGCUAUGAAUACAUUAGCAUGGAAUAAUAAUCUAGGACUUCGGUUCUAUUUUGUUGGUUUCUAGUACUGAGUAAUGAUUGAUAGGGAUAGUUGGGGUG
rnacentral:rRNA from 1 species